rnacentral:piRNA from 1 species
UCUUGGCCACUGUAGAUUACUGC